UACGUAGGGGGCGAGCGUUGUCCGGAGUUACUGGGCGUAAAGCGCACGUAGGCGGCAUUGCAAGUCGGAUGUGAAAUCCCUCGGCUUAACCAAGGAAGUGCAUCCGAAACUGCAGUGCUUGAGUACUUAAGAGGAUCGCGGAAUUCCCGGUGUAGAGGUGAAAUUCGUAGAUAUCGGGAGGAACACCAGUGGCGAAGGCGGCGAUCUGGGAAGAUACUGACGCUGAGGUGCGAAAGCGUGGGGAGCAAACAGG
rnacentral:rRNA from 1 species